CCAGCCCGGUCAAUUUUUGUAUUUUUAGUAGAAACAGGGUUUCACCAUGUUGGCCAGGCUGGUCUCAAACCCCUGACCUCAAGUGAUCUGCCCAUCUCGGCCUCCCAAAGUGCUGGGAUUACAGGUGUGAGCCACUGUGCCUGGCCAGGUGCCUGUUCCAUACUUAUCAGACUUCCUGUAAUUUAGUACCUGUUUUGUGAAAUUUGGUGAACUUCUGACUUCCCUUAAUACCAGUAUUGGUUCAGUCCAUUUCUGUCAUCCCUGUCUUCUGGGAGACUUGGGUGGAUCUGUCUGGGCUGCAGCUCACCUCCCUGGGAAGCUCAGCAUCUGUCCUGUGCUUGUUUGCAGGAAUGACGGGACAGAGUUUGGCGGCUCCAUUUACCAGAAAGUGAACAAGAAGUUGGAGACCGCUGUCAAUCUUGCCUGGACAGCAGGAAACAGUAACACGCGCUUCGGAAUAGCAGCCAAGUAUCAGAUUGACCCUGACGCCUGCUUCUCGGCUAAAGUGAACAACUCCAGCCUGAUAGGUUUAGGAUACACUCAGACUCUAAAGCCAGGUAUUAAACUGACACUGUCAGCUCUUCUGGAUGGCAAGAACGUCAAUGCUGGUGGCCACAAGCUUGGUCUAGGACUGGAAUUUCAAGCAUAAAUGAAUACUGUACAAUUGUUUAAUUUUAAACUAUUUUGCAGCAUA
rnacentral:sRNA from 1 species